rnacentral:rRNA from 1 species
UACGUAGGCAGCAAGCGUUGUUCGGAGUUACUGGGCGUAAAGGGUGUGUAGGCGGUUGCUUAAGUUUAGUGUGAAAUCUCCCGGCUCAACUGGGAGGGUGCGCCGAAUACUGAGUGACUAGAGUGCGGGAGAGGAAAGUGGAAUUCCUGGUGUAGCGGUGAAAUGCGUAGAUAUCAGGAGGAACAUCGGUGGUGUAGACGGCUUUCUGGACCGUAACUGACGCUGAGACACGAAAGCGUGGGUAGCAAACAGG